rnacentral:tRNA from 1 species
GCCUGGCUGGCUCAGUUGGUUGAGCGUCCAACUUCGGCUCAGGUCAUGAUCUCACGGUGUGUGGGUUCGAGCCUCAUGUCGGGCU